UUCUUGUAAGACAGACCUUGUCGAGCUAGGUGGCUCAGCUUGUCUGUCGAUCAUGCGGCUCCUCCAUAAUGAAUGAAGUUCCAUCAAGUGUUCCGUAUAA
rnacentral:lncRNA from 1 species